AUUGAACGCUGGCGGCAGGCCUAACACAUGCAAGUCGAACGAGUGGCGGACGGGUGAGUAAUGUCUGGGAAACUGCCCGAUGGAGGGGGAUAACUACUGGAAACGGUAGCUAAUACCGCAUACCAUCGGACCUGCCCAGAUGGGAUUAGCUUGUAGGUGAGGUAACGGCUCACCUAGGCGGCGAUCCCUAGCUGGUCUGAGAGGAUGACCAACCACACCGGACAUGAGACACGGUCCAGACUCCUACGGGAGGCGGCAGUGGGGAGUAGUGCACGAUGGGGGCGAGCCUGAUGCCGCCAUGGCGCGUGUAUGAAGGAGGCCUUCGGGUGGUAAAGUACUUUCAGCGGGGCGGCGUUGCCCGCAGGAGAAGCACCGGCGAUCACCGUGCCGGCAGCCGCGGUAAUUC
rnacentral:rRNA from 1 species